CACAGACACAUCUGAUGAUGAACUUCCUUUGCAUGUGCUCACUGCGGGGAACCAAGGCAUACGAAGUCAUGGCACUGCUGGAAGGACAGCCAGUGAAGAUGGAGAUCGACAUUGGUGCUGCGGUGUCACUGGUGUCGGAUGUGGUAUAUAGUGAAAUACUGAGCCACCUGCCACUCAAACCACCUGAUGUGACCCUUAAAACUUACACUGGUGAAUCGGUGACCAUGAAAGUCCUCACCCAGGUAACAGUCGAACUAAACAAACAAGCAAAAAAGCUGCCAUUGUAUGAGGUUUUGGGUGAUUAUCCCUCAUUGAUGGGACGUCUCUGGCUGGAGCAACUUAAGUUGGACUGGCAGGCCAUACACAUAAUGACACAGAAAAAAAUGGAUUUAGAGGGUGUCCUUCAGAAACACAGUGAAGUUUUCAAACAGGAGCUAGGCAGCAUGGAAGGAAUCAAUGUGAAAUUGACUGUUGAGCCAGAAUGCCAGCCAAAAUUCUUAAAGGCCAGGCCCCUGCCUUAUGCACUCAAACCCAAGGUAGAGGCGAGCUUAAAUGAACUCGUGGAGAAUGAUGUGCUCGAACCAGUAAGUGUCAGCAAGUGGGCAACACCUAUUGUUCCAGUUAUAAAGAAAGAUGGAGGCAUAAGAAUUUGCGGGGACUUUAAAGUCACUGUAAAUCCAGUGUUGUCUGCAGAACAAUACCCCUUGCCUCACAUUAAUGAUCUCUUUGCUGGACUGACUGGAGGGCAAAAAUUCAGUAAAAUUGAUCUCAAUCAGGCCUAUCUGCAAAUGCAUGUGGAGGAACAGUCCAGAGAACUUCUCACUAUCAACACACACAAAGGCCUAUUUCGUUAUAAGCGUUUACCAUUUGGAAUUACUUCGGCUCCAUCCCUGUUUCAGCGAGCGAUGGACCAGAUCCUGGCAGUGGGAGACUCAAAAAGGCCCUCACCCAUUUUGACCCUGCUCUUCCGAUUCGGCUGGCCUGCGACGCUUCCCCAGAUGGUGUGGGAGCGGUCUUGUCCCACAUUAUGCUGAAUGAUCAAGAGAAGCCUAUCACAUUUUCUCCGAGGAGUCUAAGCAAAGCCGAAGCAAACAAUGCUCAGAUUGAAUGUAAAGCAUUGAGCAUUGUGUUUGGAGUGAGCAAGUUUUACCAGUAUAUUUUUGGAAGGAAGUUUAUGCUGCUGACCGAUCAUUG
ensembl:lncRNA